GAACAGUAACUGAGCUACUGUUGAAAAUGAAUAGGGGAUUUCCCUUUUUGGCCUCGCAAUCAGGUUCUCUGAUUUUGCCUGUUUUGCUUACUCAUCCUCUUAUUUUGCUUUUUCCUUUUUCCUUUUUCAUUCAUGUUGUUUGAGAUCAGUUCUCUUUAUUUCUCUCCUCCAUUGAAGUGUAAGUUGAGCUUUCUCCUCCAUUAAAUCUUCUUGAGUUUGAUUCAAUCAUCUAAUAUCUCCUCUCCUACUGAUUCACUCUCUCUCCUCUGAAAUUGAAUUGUAUCCAAAAUUAAGCUUCACUUUGAACACUGCGUCUUCUUCAAUUCAAUGCUUACAGGUAUUUUUGUCCAAUUAAUUUAGGAAUUCCCAACUCUGUAAAAAAGUUAUUUAACUACUUCAUGUACCUCCAUUCAAGUAUACUCUCAAUUCUUCAUCAAAGCGUCUUAAUCAAUCAGACAGGUUUUUCAAAUUCUGAGGAUCUUGAAUUCUUGCAAUUGCACCCAACUGGUAUCUACGGUCCUGGAUGCCUAAUCCCUGAAGAGAUUGAUAGAGGACGAGACUGAGAAAGUCAAGGACUUUUCAGCAGAGACAACAACACCCUUUAGAGAAAGACUUAUGAUCUUAGGACGUCUAGCGAAUGAAGAAGAUAUCAGUCUGAGACUCUGAAUGUAGUAGAGUCGUAGAGAAGUGCUACAAUGCAUACAAUGAGAAAUCUGUCCUGUCAAGCCCUAAGCAUGAGUUUUACUCGGAAAGACAGGAGCUCAUAAUAUCUGAGCUUGUCUUGCAACGUCUUUAUAUAUUGAAUGAGGAAAAGUGGCUGCUUAAAAUAGAUUAAAGCUCCCAAAAACAUUAUAUCAGGCUUACCUCUACAUAUGUCAAGCCACAAUUCACUUUAGAUUCUGGUGCUUGUCGUGUCAGUGUUUAUGGUUGGAGUGCAGCAUGAUCCUAGAAAGAGAAUUGAUUCUAUAACAAUGUAGUUUCAAUUGCAUUCUUGUGUUGUAUCUUCAAAUCUGACAACAAAUCAUGGAACACUGGACAUCCUUGCUAACAAGGUUCUAGCCAAGGACGAUGAAAAUAACGUCACAGCAUUGUACAUAUGGGGAAAAACAAGAAUAGAACUAGGGGCAAAUAAAUUAAUGCAGCUAGAGAAGACUUGGUCAAAUCUCGUAAAUAUGCUCUUGAUGACAGGGUUCUUGCUUAGCAUGAAAAAUCUGUAGCUAGAACCAGAAGGGGCGUGACAAAGCAAUGCUAGGACAAAGAACUGAACCCAAGAGAUCUAUUGUAAAAUCUUCGAGGCUGCUUGAUGUGUUUAGUUUAUUGCAAGCUUACUCGUACCUUUUUUUUUCUCUGUGAACUAGCAAUAUGCUUUUUAAAGACUACAUACGUACUGUGGUGUUCAUUAAACUUACAUGUAACGUGUUCUUUACCUUUUGUUUCA